GACGAACGCUGGCGGCGUGCUUAACACAUGCAAGUCGAACGGAAAGGCCCCCACUUUUUUGGUGGGGGUGCUCGCGUGGCGAACGGGUGAGUAACACGUGGGUGAUCUGCCCUGUACUUCGGGAUAAGCUUGGGAAACUGGGUCUAAUACCGGAUAGGACCAUGGUUUAUUUUCUCAUGGUGGAAAAAUUAUUGUUUUGGUGCAGGAUGAGCUCGCGGCCUAUCAGCUUGUUGGUGGGGUAAUGGCCUACCAAGGCGUCGACGGGUAGCCGGCCUGAGAGGGUGGACGGCCACAUUGGGACUGAGAUACGGCCCAGACACCUACGGGAGGAAGCAGUGGGGAAUAGUGCACAAUGGGCGCAAGCCUGAUGCAGCGACGCCGCGUGGGGGAUGACGGCCUUCGGGUUGUAAACUCCUUUCGUUAGGGACGAAGCCGCACCUUUUUUGGGUGUGGUGACGGUACCUUUGUUAAGAAGCACCGGCUAACUACGUG
rnacentral:rRNA from 1 species